rnacentral:lncRNA from 1 species
AUUAUAACCCCAACACUAUGUGAUUAUAAUAUUUCAAGGGGUUGCUAUUGAAUGAAACAUAAUGGUGUAACAGGUAUUAGUGUAAGAACCAUUGCUAUUAAUAGCGUAUGACAAUACAUUGCCUACUAGCAAAUUGGCCUUACUUUGAUUUUACUAUACUUUUCUAUACCUAUGAGAAUUUUAGUUAAAUCUAUGUGAAAUCUGAAAUUGCUCCUUACAGAGAUAACUGGGGGUGGGGUGGAGAUAUCAGACUUAAACAAGAAAGAAGUGAUAAGACUAUGAAGGGAGCAGGAGAAAAGAUGAUGAUGAGAGGAAUCUCAAGCUCUCUGUCUCAUGUCUUGCCUUCCAGACAGAACCAUGAAGCUUGUGGAGUAUACUGAGAUGUAAGGAAGGGUGACAGUGAUCUGAUGUGCUUGAGAAAGCACAUGUAGCCUGGGACCCUAGGGACCAGUGCUGUUCCCUCCACUGUUAUAUGUCUGUGCCCAGCAAUGGCAGGCUCUGACACACAGCAUUAACAAAGCUUGCAUGUGUUUAACAAGUGGUUUCUGUGUCCAGAUCUAAGAAUACUCUUCCUCCUUCUUCAUGGAUAGCAUUUGAAAAAUAGCUCCUCAGUGAUGUCACUUGGAUAAAAUAAGGGUCACUCCAAGAAUUUGCUGCUUCAAUCAGCAAAAUACCCUUUGCUCUUGGGGAAUAAGAUGGAUUGGGCAAGUAGAAGGUGGCUCCAACUGAAAACAGCCAUGUCUGUGAAUGUUAAGAUGAAUGGUAAGACUCAUCCCUUUGGACUAAGAAUCACUUACCACAAGGCACACGAAGUCACGGGUAUGUCAUUAAGACAAUGGGGAAGAAAGAUCUCCAAGUGUUUCUAGCCAUCUAAGAUUAGUAUCUAAAGAGGAAAUAUGUAGUCCACUGCUACUUAAAACCAUCAUAGAUGUAAUAGCUUCUCUUCUUAAAGUAUGUAGAAGAUAUAUCAUCACCAUUAUUAUUACUAGCAGUAGUAGUUUCAUUUAGUAAAAACAUGAGAAGAUUUCCUAAGUUUCUUUAUAAUCUUGAUCCAUUCCCCCCAAAUAAUUAUGAAAUGCACAGUCUGUGUAGGUCUGCUGCUAUGGCCACACACUGAAGUCCCUCAUAACGACUGUAUCAUUUAAACCUUCCCCUAGUUGGGCUAGAUGUGUGCUUUCUUUCCACUGCUCAGAAAUACAUGGACAUGCAUUUCAGGGAGAGAUUCAGAGACAGCUGAAUUCCAGAGACAGACUGUACCACAGAAUCAUAAGUUGCAGGACCACAAGUCAAACUGAGGUCAGCCAAACUCCAAAAUAAAGCCAACAUCAAUGCAUCACAAAUUUUCUGACAUUGUACACUUUCAAGUGUAUGUCGUUUUGCUUUCCGACUGGGGAAUGAAAGCUCGAAUCAGAAAGAAUCUAAAAUGAUUUAAGGUAAACUAAAUGGGCUGGGUAGGGACAGUAGCAACAGUGAACCCACAGCCACCGUUGUCAAGCAGACAGCCCUUGCUCAUUAUAAUAAUUUUAAAAAGUAGGUGUUCUGACAUUAUUCUGUUCAUUGUUCCAAGAAAAGUUGGAACCCCAAAUUUCCAUGUGAAAAUUUGUGUUCCUAAUCUGUUAUCAGUUUAUUUGACUAAAGCAAAAUACGGUACAAAGUUACAGUUUGGAAGAAUAGUUUGAUGUCCCUUCAAAGGUGUGAGGUGCUGUGUAUGCUAAGUCCCCAGAUAUGGUUAUUACAAGAUGUGUGCACAUUGAAAUGUCACACAAUGCUCCAUAGACAUGUACCAUUGUUACAUAACAAUUACAAAACAGAAACGAAGCUAGCUGUGGGGGUAUGUGUCUGUAGUCUCAGCUCUCAGGAGCCCAAAAAAAGAGACUGUGAGUUACAGGGAAAACAAGGCUACAUAUACUAUAACACACACAUACACACACACACACACACACACACACACACACACACACACACACAACCAAGGGAAAACCUAAAACAAAAUGAGAAGUGGGUUUUUUUGAGCAAUUGAAUCUCUGUGUGCAGAGUGUGUACAUGUGUGCAUGUUCAGAGGAGAAGAUCAGACAUUCUGCUGUAUCGCCUUCCCAGUAUCAGCUUGACAUAGGGUCACUGACCCUGGAGCUAGGCCGGCAGCUAGCAAGAUCCAGUGAUUUUCCUGUCUCUGACAACCACUUCAGCCCUGGGGUUAAAUGCACAUGUAUAGCCAGCCAUGUACAACUUUCUAUAUAGAUGCUUGCAAUCAAGCUCAUGUGUCCUGCUUGUGCAGCCAGAGUUCUCACACACUGCCUCAGUCCUAUAGACGAAACACAUUUUAAAAGAGAAGAGAAGAUAAUGGAGAAGAGGGAGAAAGAGAGGUGAGGGGAAGGAAGGG